UCAUGCGCUGAUAUGAUGGUCGACGGA
rnacentral:piRNA from 1 species